UGAUGGCUUACCAAGAUGCAGAGGUGUGACUAUUCAUAAGAACCACAUAUGCAGAAAUAAAAACACACUAACAGGAGCAAUAACAAGAGCAGCCAUGAAAAACAAGAUGAUCACUGUCUUCUGUAUAACCUUAAAUAUCAUGCUCAUCUCAGGUUCCUCUCUCAGUGACAAAGUGAAGCAGACUCCAGCUCACAUGGUCAAGAAAUCAACAGAAACAGCUAACAUCAGCUGCUCACAUAGUAUUGAUAGCUAUGAUCGAAUCUUCUGGUACAAGCAGUUAAACAACAGACAGCUGCAGCUCCUGGGAUAUAUGGUGAUGGACUCAAAAAACCCAGAAACUGGAGUCGCAGUGAAGAUGGAAGGGAAUGCAAAUAAAGACCAGAACUGCACUUUAACCAUUGAAACGCUGGACCUGAACAGCAGUGCAGUUUACUUCUGUGCUGCUAGUUUACACAGUGCCACACAUCACUGCUCCUCAGUACAAAAACCUCACCAUCACUAUGUUUUCAUCAGCUCAUAAUCACUUACACCUGCUACUUCCUCUCAUUAGGUGGCAGUGUAUCUAUAUUCUGUGAAUCUGAACCACUGAUGUGUAGCAGGAGUUGAUGUGAUCAUUAUAAUGUGGAGAGA